rnacentral:rRNA from 1 species
AACGAACGCUGGCGGCGUGCUUAACACAUGCAAGUCGAACGGUAAGUCCUCUUUCGGGGGCUACUGGAUUGGCGAACGGGUGAGUAACACCUUAGUAACCUGCCUUUGACUUUGGGAUAACUUCAGAAAACUGGUGCUAAUACCAGAUCGGAGCUCCUGCUGCAAGGUGGGAGUUGGAGAGUUUCGGCGUUUGGGGAUGGAGUCGCGGCUUAUCAGCUUGUUGGUGGGGUAGUGGCUUACCAAGGCUUUGGCGGGUAGCCGGCCUGGGAGGGUGACCGGCAACAGUCGGACUGAGAUACGGCCCAGACUCCGACGGGAGGCAGCAGUGGGGAAUAUUGCACAUGGGGUGGGGGCGUGAUGCAGAAACGCCGUGGGCGGGAUGACGGUGUAGGGGUUGUAGACCGAUAGCGCUCAUAACGAAGCUGUGUGUGACGGUAGCGGGUAAAGAAGCACCGGCUAACUACGUG